GGGAGCAUGGUGUAGUGGCUUGAGUGUUGGACUAUGACUCUGAAAACCAGGGUUCAAAUCCCAGCUUGACCA
rnacentral:tRNA from 1 species